AGACCCCUGGGCUAACAGCCCAAGGGACCCACCUCAAUGGCCCCCACCUGUGUCCAUAUCAGCACGCCUGGACCAGCUCAGAACAACCACCCCCACCAAUGUCUCAGUCUCCGGAGAGGAUCCUCCUCUCACCAAGAUGCCCCCAGAGCCCACCAGCUACUGGCAUAUACUCAAAACGUCCUGACACAUGAGGAGAUAAGACAAUGUGAUCGAAAACCAAGAACCACCACCAAUAAAAACCAAUCCACUGGGUGCCAGAGGGUGAAGAUAUAUAUAGAAUUUAACUAUGUUUAAUGUGUUGAAGGAAAGAAAAGAAAAUAUGGAGAAUUUUUGGAGAUAAGUAGAAUUAUUAAAAAGAAUCAAAAGUAAACUCUAAAAUAAAAAACAAUAAUUGAAAUAUGAACAUCAAUGGACAGGUUUAAUAGCAAAUGUGAUAUAGCUGAUUAGAGAAUUCAUGCAUUGAAAGUUAGAUCUGAAGACAUCCUUAGUGAAGCAAGAGAGAGAAGAGGAUGCGAAAUGUAGAAGAGAUGAUGCAAAAUAAAGGAAAUACAAAGGAAAACUACUAAUUAGGUAUAAUUAAAAAUCCCAGAAGGAAAGGAGAAGAGAAAAUAGGCGAAAACAAUAGUUGAGGAGAUAAUAGCUGAGAAUUAUCCAAAAACGAGUGAAAAAUAUUAAACCACAGAUGCAAGAAGCUCUACAACAAGUAAGCAGAAUAAGUGAAAAGAAAAUUACACCCACAUGCAGCAUAGUAAAAUUGCUAAAAGUAAAGAUGAAGAUAAAUUCCUAAAAGCAGCUAGAGAAACAACAAAAUAUUUUCAAAAGGUAACAAUAAGGGGCCGGCCCAGUGGCACAGCAGUUAAGUUUACACAUUCAGCUUUGGGGGCCUGGGGUUCACCAGUUCAGAUCCCGGGUGUAGACCUACGCACCACUUGUCAAACCAUGCUGUGGCAGGCGUCCCACAUAUA
rnacentral:lncRNA from 1 species